rnacentral:rRNA from 1 species
UACGAAGGGGGGCUAGCGUUGCUCGGAAUCACUGGGCGUAAAGCGCACGUAGGCGGCUUUCUAAGUCAGGGGUGAAAUCCUGGAGCUCAACUCCAGAACUGCCUUUGAUACUGGAGAGCUUGAGUCCGGAAGAGGUGAGUGGAACUCCGAGUGUAGAGGUGAAAUUCGUAGAUAUUCGGAAGAACACCAGUGGCGAAGGCGGCUCACUGGUCCAUUACUGACGCUGAGGUGCGAAAGCGUGGGGAGCAAACAGG